UACGAAGGGGGCUAGCGUUGUUCGGAAUCACUGGGCGUAAAGGGUGCGUAGGCGGGUCUUAAGUCAGGGGUGAAAUCCUGGAGCUCAACUCCAGAACUGCCUUUGAUACUGAAGAUCUUGAGUUCGGGAGAGGUGAGUGGAACUGCGAGUGUAGAGGUGAAAUUCGUAGAUAUUCGCAAGAACACCAGUGGCGAAGGCGGCUCACUGGCCCGAUACUGACGCUGAGGCACGAAAGCGUGGGGA
rnacentral:rRNA from 1 species